rnacentral:rRNA from 1 species
GACGAACCGUGCGAACGUUGUUCGGAUUCACUGGGCUUAAAGGGCGCGUAGGCGGGUCGGUCCGUCUGGGGUGAAAUCCUCUCGCUUAACGAGAGAACGGCCCUGGAUACCACCGAUCUCGAGGGAGGUAGGGGCAUGUGGAACUUCCGGUGGAGCGGUGAAAUGCGUAGAUAUCGGAAGGAACGCCGGUGGCGAAAGCGACGUGCUGGACCUUUUCUGACGCUGAGGCGCCGAAAGCGUGGGGAGCAAACAGGG